AGAAAAUAAUAAAUAAAUAAUGGAAAUUAAAGCGUAGAAAGACGAUGACUAAUCAAAAGUUUUUAUUUCGAUUUAACACAAACAAAUGCCGGGUCUUGUUAUCUGGCACUCAUUCACUUUAAACUGCAUGUUCAAGCUGUGCGUGUCUAUAUUUAAAUGGCGAUACGGAAUUGUUUACAAAUAAAAAUACUUCUUGGGAGUAUUUUUGUGUAAAUUCUUGCUGAUAAGUAUUGUAUAUGAAGAAAAUGGCUUGAAUGAUAAUAACAGACGACAUACAUACAUUGAAAUAAACUUAUUUCUCUCAUAUUAUUAACUCGCAACGUUUUAUGAUGUAGUCUGCCUGCUUACGGCGGCCCUUGGACUCUGACGUGUCCAGUAAAGUCAGCCGCGCGCUGCCGCUGUACGCGAUAAAGCAACAGCAUAGACGUUGGUAAAGACAAUGCAAUGGAAUUGACCGUUUUGGCUAACACAAAAAAGUGAACUAAAGAAAAAAGCAAAACGGAAGCCAGAAUGGAAAUGAAAAGAUGAAAACGAAUUACUGAUUAUCUAACAAAAAAAAGAAGAAAAAAAUGUGCGUAGCGAAAGUAAUUUUUUAGCGAAAAGAAUAAGUUGAAAAAAUACACAAAGAAUUACGAAAUAACGCAAAAAAAUAAAAUAGCCACAAAAGUGACUAACAAUACUUUUUUGCUUCUGUUUUCUUUCAUUUAUAAUAUUUCUUUUUUAGAAUAAAUAAAAAUUAUGUUUAGAGAUUGUAUACACUAUUUCUUUUUUUAUAGUUAAACCAUAUUUAGCAUCAGAGAAGUAUUUAUUGCUGCUGCUACUGCUACUGCGCUUUAAUUGUUGCUAGCUCUGCUGCUGCUGGUCUUAAGGCUGGAAAAUAUGAGCUUGCUCUUGAUAAGCUGCUACGCGCUCGCUGGCAUUAGAAUUUAAGUCUCGUACACACCAACAUCGCGCUAACACGAAAAACACAUGAUCCGUCAGUCAGAUAAAGUUCCAUAAACGUUGUUUUAUUUUCGUAGUAACGCAUGUGCUUAUGUAUUUUUGCUUUCUGCUUCUGCAUCUUCUCUUCACUUUCAGCUGUUUGUUUACGGCAUUUAUUAUUAAUAAUAGCUUAAUUAUUUGUUUGUUUGUUUUUUUUGUUGUAAUUGUAAAUGUAGUCUGCUAUGGUACGUUUUAUAUUUAUUUGUAUUUGUAUGCUUGUUGUUGUCAUAUAUGUAGUACUAAGAGUAGUAGUUUGUUGUUGUAUUAUUUAUAAUUA